GAGGAGGAGGACUCAAGGUGGCGCUGUGAGAACAACCCAGGAUUGGAGCUCUUCUCGUUGAAUCCGCAAACGGGUAAAUUACUUCUCAGGAAGUUUCCAGGUCCUUUGGAAAACAUCAUCCCAGAGGAUCUAUCUCAUCAGUUCAGAGUGUAUGAUCAACCAUCUUCAGCCAAGAGAUGAGAAAAAUGAAGCACAUGCAUUUAGCAAGAAAUGA
rnacentral:lncRNA from 13 species